rnacentral:ncRNA from 1 species
AAAUGUGCAAAUUUUGAUUAUCGCGGGAGACAGUAAUGGAGAAUUUUCCGUAAUGGGUAAAAGCCUGACGGAGCAAUGUCGCGUGAAGAUAGAAGGCCUAUGGGUCAUGAACUUUUUUUUCCGGAGAAUAAGCAUUGGCUAACUUUGUGCCAGCAGCCGCGGUAAGACAGAGGAUGCAAGCGUUAUCCGGAAUGAUUGGGUGUAAAGCGUCUAUAGGUGGCUUUUUAAGUUCGCCGUCAAAUCUCAGGGCUCAACCUUGGACAGGCAGUGGAAACUACCAAGGUGGAGUACGGUAGUCAGUGAGCUUGUAGUUUCCUCUGCCUGUUUUUUUCAGUUGGUACAUU